UAUCGGAUUGAUACUAAGCCAUGCGAGUCAUUGUAGCAAUACAAGGCAUACGGCUCAGUAACGCGUAGUCAACCUAACCUAUGGACGGGAAUAACCUCGGGAAACUGAGAAUAAUGCCCGAUAGAACAUUAUGCCUGGAAUGGUUUAUGUUCCAAAUGAUUUAUCGCCGUAGGAUGGGACUGCGGCCUAUCAGUUUGUUGGUGAGGUAAUGGCCCACCAAGACUAUUACAGGUACGGGCUCUGAGAGGAGUAGCCCGGAGAUGGGUACUGAGACACGGACCCAGGCCCUAUGGGGCGCAGCAGGCGAGAAAACUUUGCAAUGUGCGAAAGCACGACAAGGUUAAUCCGAGUGGUUUCUGCUAAAGGAACCUUUUGUCAGUCCUAGAAACACUGAUGAAUAAGGGGUGGGCAAGUUCUGGUGUCAGCCGCCGCGGUAAAACCAGCACCUCAAGUGGUCAGGAUGAUUAUUGGGCCUAAAGCAUCCGUAGCCGGCUCUGUAAGUUUUCGGUUAAAUCUGUACGCUCAACGUACAGGCUGCCGGGAAUACUGCAAAGCUAGGGAGUGGGAGAGGUAGACGGUACUCGGUAGGAAGGGGUAAAAUCCUUUGAUCUAUUGAUGACCACCUGUGGCGAAGGCGGUCUACCAGAACACGUCCGACGGUGAGGGAUGAAAGCUGGGGGAGCAAACCGGAUUAGAUACCCGGGUAGUCCCAGCUGUAAACCAUGCAAACUCAGUGAUGCAUUGGCUUGUGGCCAAUGCAGUGCUGCAGGGAAGCCGUUAAGUUUGCCGCCUGGGAAGUACGUACGCAAGUAUGAAACUUAAAGGAAUUGGCGGGGGAGCACCACAAGGGGUGAAGCCUGCGGUUCAAUUGGAUUC
rnacentral:rRNA from 1 species